UACGUAGGGGGCGAGCGUUGUCCGAAGUUACUGGGCGUAAAGCGCGCGUAGGCGGGGAAUUAAGUGAGAAGUGAAAGGCUGGGGCUCAACCUCAUGCAGUGCUUCUCAUACUGGUUCUCUUGAGGGCGGUAGAGAGAAGUGGAAUGGCUGGUGUAGCGGUGAAAUGCGUAGAUAUCAAGAGGAACACCUGAGGUGAAGACGGGUUGCUGGGCCGACACUGACGCUGAGUGCGCGAAAGCCAGGGGAGCAAACGGG
rnacentral:rRNA from 1 species